rnacentral:lncRNA from 1 species
GUCACAGAGCCAGACCCACCCCAGACCCUCCCCUCCCCCUCCUCAGAAAGCCUCCUUAGGGGCUCAAUCCAUUUCUUCUGUCAGGAGAUGGAGGCACAGGGAGAGAAAGAAGUGGGAGAGGAGGAUGCUGGAGAGGCAGGGAGGUGGCACAAAUGAAGGCAGAGGUGGUUUCUCUGCUCUCUCAUUUUGCCUGAAGGCCUGUUAUAAGCUAUAGGCCAGAAACUAGGUCUUCUGAAAUUAACAACAAAGAAGAGCCUCCGAGCCCUGGGAGGAAGGACUGUAUCAGAUACUCCAAUUAUUGAUACUGCAAGAAAUACACUCACGGCUGCAGGUUUCCCAGAGAAGCUAAUCUUACCACUGUGGGUGGAGACCUGUCAGACUGUACCUGGGGCAUCGUUCGGAACUUCCAGGACUCCUGUAACCCAGCAGUAGAAGACUUUGUGAAAGCAGACAGCUGAUCCAAGUUCUUUCUCCCAACAGCUAGUUCUGCUGACCAACAGCAACCCCAGCUUACCACCAGAAACUUGACCGUGGAAGUGCAGAGGUGGUAGCCUCACAGAGACAACAGCUCUCUCUCCAUGACAGUCCUGCUUGGGUACUGGACGUGCUUGACCUCUCAGCGUUGCCUGCAAGCUCUGACUUGUCCGUCUGACUCGUCCUUCAGUAGGUCUAGUUAGGGCUUAUUCUCUGACCUUGUGAUCCCUCUUCCAGAACUUCACUUCUCCAGCUCCUCCCACAAUUGGGUAAUGUCCAAU